AGGUGCAGAGGCACGAGCUCUAGCACCAAGGGGUGAUGAUGGAGUUGGGGUUAGAUUCCUGUAGCAAGAUGCAGAGCAAUGAGCAAAACAGCAUACCGGCACGGGAGCUGUCUUGGGCAAGAAGAACAACGGUGGUGUGAGAGCCUCGAUGGGACAAGAGAAGAUGGUGCCACCUGAGUGGGCAAGCGGUCAAGAUAAGAGAGCAGGACAUGAGGAAUAAUGACUGCGGGCAGCCUAUGCUUUAG